rnacentral:lncRNA from 1 species
CUGGGACAACAAAGAAUUUGUCUCCAGUGCAGAAACUCUCAGUGUACAUACUCCAUUCCAUAUCAAAUAAUAACAAUAACAACAAUAACUACAAUAACUACAAUAAUAACUAUAAUAAUACCAAAACAAUAAACAACAGUGGCAAAAAUGCAAGACCCAAACCGCAUACGAGUGACCCAAAAACUUAGAACGGCAACUAACCGGACACCCAAACGCUGCACUUUGGCAGGGAUUUGAAGGGAUGUUUACUUUCCAGCCAGAACGAGCGUUCGUGCUCAGCAUGUCGAAAUGAGCCUGUUGCAAUCCUGGGCCUUCGCCAAUCGUCCGGUUUUUGGGACUGUCCUGUUUUUCCUAUGACGAAAGGCAUCGCUAGCCCCCCUGCAUGUACGCUGGACCGAGGCACGUUUUAAGAUGCAGUGGCUCCUCAUGUUCCUGCUACCUGGGCUCAUCGUCCCUGCAAGUUCCGCUUGGACCAGCGAAGCAGAGCCCAUCGACCGCCUGUAUGCCCGACUCGGGGCCACCACCGUGGUCUUGUCUUGCCCUGUACCUGAAGGCGGAUCCCAGGUGGUAUGGAAAAACCACGUGACCCCGGAGACCGU